ACCCACGGACCGGCGGACCGACGGACCACUGCGCUGCCGCCUCCCUCCCGCGCUACGGCUCCUCGGAGGGGCAGGCCAGGCCGGCGCGCCCGCGCGCGCGCCCCCGCUUCCAGUGCGCCCGCACGCGCCGCUCCGCCGCCCGCCCCUGCCGUUGGCCCUGCGCGGCCCAGCCAGCGGGGAGGUGCGUUUGCGGAUGCCGGAGACCCAGGAAGGGCGCAGGAAUCCAUCAGACAUUUCGAUGGAUGCCUAUCCCCACUGGUUUCCCCUUACCUCAGCCAUGUUGCUGAUGACAAUUGCCAUGAUGAUGCCAUAGAUGGCCACCGCUUCACAGAAGAUAAUACUGGCAACAGUAAUGGUAAAUGUUGGGGGACGGGGAGAGCAAAGAGGUAAGAAGGAAAUCAGCCAUUUCUUCAGAAAAUCCCCAGCCAACUUUCCUUGACUCACAUACACGUUAUGAUGAGACUGGUCACAAGCCAGUAUGUCAUCAGACCUCCAUCACAGCUAAUUUUGACAUUCAAAAGCCUUUACACUUACCUAACCAAGUUCUUGGUUUUGAUUCUGGGGGCUUUCACUCCACCCCCAAUAAUGGAAGAGCCGGUAAUAUAGAUUCCCCUGGUGAAGGAUAAGAAACUGAUUAAAGGAGCCCAAGUAGUCGCUGUCCCCA